CUCCGCGAAUACCCACAAUCCUUUGAGAAAGGAGUACCCUACCUGGAGUUCCGCUACAAAACCAGGGUGUACAAACAGACGAAUCUAGAUGAAAAACAGCUGGCCAAACUACACACAAAGGCCAGUCUGAAGAAGUUCAUGGACUACAUCCAGGCCGGGGCUGUGGAAAAGGUAGCCAAACUUGUAGACAAAGGCCUUGACCCCAACUACCAUGACCCUGAUA